rnacentral:rRNA from 1 species
UACGAAGGUGGCAAGCGUUGUUCGGAUUUACUGGGCGUACAGGGAGCGUAGGCGGUUGGAUAAGCCCUCCGUGAAAUCUCCAGGCUUAACCUGGAAAGUGCAGAGGGGACUGUUCAGCUAGAGGAUGGGAGAGGAGCGCGGAAUUCCCGGUGUAGCGGUGAAAUGCGUAGAUAGUCGGGAGGAACACCUGUGGCGAAAGCGGCUCACUGGACCAUUACUGACGCUGAUGCACGAAAGCUAGGGGAGCAAACAGG